rnacentral:rRNA from 1 species
AUGAACGCUGGCGGCGUGCUUAACACAUGCAAGUCGCACGAGAACUCUUUAGCUUGCUAAAGAUAGUAAAGUGGCGCACGGGUGAGUAACGCGUGGGUAAUCUUCCUUUAAAUUCGGGAUAACUCGCCGAAAGGCGGGCUAAUACCGGAUGAUAUCUUUGAAACCUCGGUUUAAAAGAUCAAAGGUGGCCUCUAUAUAUAAGCUACUGUUUGAAGAUGAGCCCGCGUACCAUUAGCUUGUUGGUAGGGUGAUGGCCUACCAAGGCAACGAUGGUUAGCUGGUCUGAGAGGAUGAUCCGCCACACUGGUACUGAGACACGGACCAGACUCCUACGGGAGGCAGCAGUGAGGAAU